rnacentral:rRNA from 2 species
CGGCGCAUUAGCUAGUUGGUGGGGUAAUGGCUCACCAAGGCGACGAUGCGUAGCCGACCUGAGAGGGUGAUCGGCCACACUGGGACUGAGACACGGCCCAGACUCCUACGGGAGGCAGCAGUAGGGAAUCUUCCGCAAUGGACGAAAGUCUGACGGAGCAACGCCGCGUGAGUGAUGAAGGUUUUCGGAUCGUAAAGCUCUGUUGUUAGGGAAGAACAAGUGCGAGARUAACUGCUCGCACCUUGACGGUACCUAACCAGAAAGCCACGGCUAACUACGUGCCAGCAGCCGCGGUAAUACGUAGGUGGCAAGCGUUGUCCGGAAUUAUUGGGCGUAAAGGGCUCGCAGGCGGUUUCUUAAGUCUGAUGUGAAAGCCCCCGGCUCAACCGGGGAGGGUCAUUGGAAACUGGGAAACUUGAGUGCAGAAGAGGAGAGUGGAAUUCCACGUGUAGCGGUGAAAUGCGUAGAGAUGUGGAGGAACACCAGUGGCGAAGGCGACUCUCUGGUCUGUAACUGACGCUGAGGAGCGAAAGCGUGGGGAGCGAACAGGAUUAGAUACCCUGGUAGUCCACGCCGUAAACGAWGARUGSUAAGUGUUAGGGGGUUUCCGCCCCUUAGUGCUGCAGCUAACGCAWUAAA